UGGUGGACUUUGUUUAGAAACUUUGGUGGUAUUUGUGAUACAUCAACUACAAACGUUAUCAGGGACAAAAUAUGUUACCCUUAAUACGUAAUU